rnacentral:lncRNA from 1 species
CAUUUAUGAUAUUAGAGCGAGUUUGAUCCUAAUUUUCUUUGUCUUUUUCAUUCUCUAUGAUAUUUGUUCACAAAACCACUCUUAUUUAACACAUAGAAUAUCAAAAACAAUAUAACAUUUUAGGCCAUUCUUUUGUAGAUUUAUGUAACCUUUGAUAUAGCAUUUUAGGCCUUCCUAUCGCAUAUGAAGAUACUUACCUAUGGUAGAACCACAUCUAACAUACAUCUAUUUAUUCUAUAGUUACUAAAACGAUGACACAUGGACUGUUAAAAGUGUUACAAAAUAUGGUCUGCUGUUGUUUCGAAACGAAUGAACAAGCUGUGAUUCUCAACACAACUACAAAGGGGAAGGUUCUUAAUUUCAUCUAUCUGGAAGUGUUUAUGACCUACCGCCUUCAAACUCUUCCAUAUUGUUUUAUAUUUGUAUUAAUUUUUUAAGCAAAACUAAUGAUUCAUCUCCCAAACUUAAAUAAUCAGCCAAAUUUUUUUUUUCAAAAACUCUUACUUUUCUUCUACUAAGAUGAUCGCUCGGAGGAGGUAGCGGCACUAAUUAAACGGGAGAGCCUUGGAAAGGGGGACCGGGGCCAAGCUGAGCUUAUAAGGGUAUGCGGCAUGGUUAAAUAAAUAAAGGAGAGCAUUCAACUCGUGUGUUUGGCGUGGAUCAUAGAGGCGGAUUUUUCGUGGGAUGGAUUCACAAAGGUUCUUAUGACCUUGCCCGGGAGUAGUAUGCUUAGCUUAGAUGAGAUUAUGGCUAAGGAAAGAAAUCAAUCGAAGCCUAGGAAGCGGAUAAAUUCCCUUAACCUAUUUAAUUCCUUCCAAAAACAAACCAAAGGGUAUUUGGAAAGUCUAAGAAUAGGAAUUCUUUCGAUGGCUUUUGGAAAGGACAGAGGCAAACAAAUUUAAUUCCAGGUAGAAAUUCAUUCUUUUGAUAACUUUUAAACUCCCUUUUGUAAAUGCCCGAGUUAGAUUUCACUCAUGAAAUAUAUUGAUUUAAGGUUCUAUCAGAUGGCUUAUCUUAGAUUCUUAUAUUUUGGGUAAAUUAUAGUAAAAGUUGAUGUAAUUGUCAUAACAAACACUUUACUAAGCUUAAUUAUUAAUUUUUCUCUUAUUAGUAGAAGGAGUGAAUUUCAAAUGUUUUUCUUAAACAGUGAGUCAAGAGCUUAAUCUAUGGCUUUAAGGGUUGGUAUAUCUUUGAUUCUGAAGUUAGAAAUGGAUAUAAUUUGACCAGUUAAUUUAUAGAAAGUAAAUUCAUCAUAAACAUAAUAGUUGAGCUUACUCUCUAGGAUGCAAAGUAGCAAGGGAUAUAAUUUCAUCAGAGCUAUUCUUAAUUAUUGAGGCAGUAUAUUAUAAUCUUCUUUUUUUUUCUCUUUUACUGCUAUAUUGUCAUGAGUUAUAUUUGCAGUAUUGUACCUGAAGUUAAGUUUAUUGAGUUGAUUUAAAUGUUGUUAAUAAAAAUGAUUAUUGGUUUACUUUUAAAUGAUUGUUGCUAAUUGUUCUUGAUUUAAAAAAAAAAAAAAUAGGUGAGAUCUAGUAUUUUCAAUCUAAUCUCCCUAUUUCAACUAUUGGGUAA